CGGUAGCUAAUACCGCAUAACGUCGCAAAGACCAAAGAGGGGGACCUUCGGGCCUCUUGCCAUCGGAUGUGCCCAGAUGGGAUUAGCUAGUAGAGUGGGGUAACGGCUCUACCUAGGCGACGAUCCCUAGCUGGUCUGAGAGGAUGACCAACCACACUGGAACUGAGACACGGUCCAGACUCCUACGGGAGGCAGCAGUGGGAAACAUUGCACAAAUCGGGCAGCAAGCCUGAAUGUCAACCAUGCCCCGUGAAUGAAGAAGGCCUUCGGGUUGUAAAGUACUUUCAGCGAGGAAGGAAGGGAGUAAAGUCAAUACCUUUGCUCAUUGACGUUACCCGCAGAAGAAGCAGGCCAAAACUCCUGUGCCAGCAGCCGCGGUAAUACGGAGGGGUGCAAGCGUUAAUCGGAAAUUACUGGGCGUAAAGCGCACGCAGGCGGUUUGUUAAGUCAGAUGUGAAAUCCCCGGGCUCAACCUGGGAACUGCAUCUGAUUACUGGCAAGCUUGAGUCUCGUAGAGGGGGGUAGAAUUCCAGGUGUAGCGGUGAAAUGCUAGAGAUCUGGAGGAAUACCGGGUGGCGAAGGCGGCCCCCUGGACGAAGACUGACGCUCAGGUGCGAAAGCGUGGGGAGCAAAGCAGGAUUAGAUACCCUGGUAGUCCACGCCGUAAACGAUGUCGACUUGGAGUUGUGCACCUUGAGGCGUGGCUUCCGGAGCUAACGCGUUAAGUCGACCGCCUGGGGAGUACGGCCGCAAGGUUAAAACGUCAAAUGAAUUGACGGGGGCCCGCACAAGCGGUGGGAGCAUGUGGUUUAAUUCGAUGCAAAGCGUGAAGAACCUUACCCUGGUCUUGACAUCCACAGGAAGUUUUCAGAGAUGGAG
rnacentral:rRNA from 1 species